UAGGGAAUCUUCCACAAUGGACGAAAGUCUGAUGGAGCAACGCCGCGUGAGUGAAGAAGGGUUUCGGCUCGUAAAACUCUGUUGUUAAAGAAGAACAUAUCUGAGAGUAACUGUUCAGGUAUUGACGGUAUUUAACCAGAAAGCCACGGCUAACUACGUGCCAN
rnacentral:rRNA from 1 species